GCCUGGGUGGCUCAGUCGGUUAAGCGUCCGACUUCAGCUCAGGUCACGAUCUCGCGGUCCGUGAGUUCGAGCCUCACGUCGGGCU
rfam:Felis catus isolate Cinnamon breed Abyssinian chromosome B3, whole genome shotgun sequence.